rnacentral:rRNA from 1 species
UACGUAGGGGGCAAGCGUUGUCCGGAUUAUUGGGCGUAAAGAGCGUGUAGGCGGCUUUACAGGUCCGUUGUGAAAACUCGAGGCUCAACCUCGAGACGCCGGUGGAAACCGUAAAGCUAGAGUCCGGAAGAGGAGAGUGGAAUUCCUGGUGUAGCGGUGAAAUGCGCAGAUAUCAGGAGGAACACCCGUGGCGAAAGCGGCUCUCUGGGACGGUACUGACGCUGAGACGCGAAAGCGUGGGGAGCAAACAGG